rnacentral:rRNA from 1 species
GAUGAACGCUGGCGGCGUGCCUAAUACAUGCAAGUCGAACGAACAGAUCAUGCGCUUGCUCCUUUGACGUUAGCGGCGGAGGGGUGAGUCACACGUGUAUCACCUACCUAUCAGACUGGUAUCACUUGGAGAAAGCGGAGCUAACCCCAGAUAACAUUUGGCACCGCGUUGUUCUAAAGAGAGAUAUGGUGGUGCUGUAUCUUCUAGCUGGACACGGGCCGUAUUAGAUGGUUGGUAAGUUCACGGGUUACCACGGCGACGAUACGUAGACGACCUGUGAGAGUGAUCGGCCACACGGGAGCGGGGACGCGGUCAAUGCUCCUACGGGAGGCAGCAGUAGCGAAUCUUCCGCAAUGGGCGAAAGCCUGACGGAGCGACGGCGCGUGUGCGAUGAAGGGUUUCGGCUCGUAAAACUCUGUUAUUAGGGAAGAACAAACGUGUAAGUAACUGUGCACGUCUUGACGGUACCUAAUCAGAAAGCCACGGCUAACUACGUG